rnacentral:rRNA from 1 species
UUGGAGGGCAAGUCUGGUGCCAGCAGCCGCGGUAAUUCCAGCUCCAAUAGCGUAUAUUAAAGUUGUUGCAGUUAGAAAGCUCGUAGUUGAAUUUCGGGGUUAGUAGGUUGGUCAUGCCUCUGGUAUGUACUGGUCUCACUGAUUCCUCCUUCCUGAUGAACCGUAAUGCCAUUAAUUUGGUGUUGCGGGGAAUUUGGACUGUUACUUUGAAAAAAUUAGAGUGUUUAAAGCAAGCUAACGCUUGAAUACAUUAGCAUGGAAUAAUGAAAUAGGACGUUCGAUCCUAUUUUGUUGGUUUCUAGGAUUGACGUAAUGAUUAAUAGGGAUAGUUGGGGGCAUUAGUAUUCAAUUGUCAGAGGUGAAAUUCUUGGAUUUAUUGAAGACUAACUACUGCGAAAGCAUUUGCCAAGGAUGUUUUCAUUAAUCAAGAACGAAAGUUAGGGGAUCGAAGACGAUCAGAUACCGUCGUAGUCUUAACCAUAAACUAUGCCGACUAGGGAUCGGAUGAUGUUAAUUUUUUAAUGACUCAUUCGGCGCCUUACGGGAAACCAAAGUGUUUGGGUUC